GUGCUCGCUUCAGCAGCACAUAUACUAAAAUUGAAACAAUAUAGAUAAGAUUAGGAUGGCCCCUGUGGAAGGAUGACAUGCAAAUUCAUGAAACCAUCAAUAUUUUU